GUCUUUUUGAUUUUAAUUUAAAGUCUAGCCUGCCCACUGAUUAAUUUAAAUGGCCGCAGUAUUUUGACUGUGCAAAGGUAGCAUAAUCAUUAGUUUUUUAAUUAAGAACUGGAAUGAAAGGUUGGACGAGAAAAUAACUGUCUCUUUAUAAAUUAUUUAGAAUUUUAUUUUUAAGUUAAAAAGCUUAAAUUUUGUUAAAAGACGAGAAGACCCUAUAGAGUUUAAUAUAAUAAGUUAAUAAUUAAUUAUAGUUGAAUUUUUUUAGUAUUAUUAAUUGUUAUAUUUAAUUGGGGUGAUUAAAAAAUUUAUUUAACUUUUUUUAUAUAAAAACAUUUAUUUAUGAGUAAUUGAUCCAUAUUUUAUGAUUAUAAGAUUAAAUUACCUUAGGGAUAACAGCGUUAUUUCUUUUAAGAGUUCUAAUCGAUAAAGAAGUUUGCGACCUCGAUGUUGGAUUAAAAUUUAAUUUUGGUGUAGUAGCUAAAAAAUUAGGUCUGUUCGACCUUUAAAAUUUUACAUGAUCUGAGUUUAAACCGGUGUGAGCCAGGUUGGUUUCUAUCUUUAAUAUAAAUUUAUAAUAUUUUAGUACGAAAGGACCAAAUAUUAGUAAAAAUUAUUUUUUUUAUGAAUAUUAUU
rnacentral:rRNA from 1 species